CGCCUCUUGACUUAUAAUAAGAGGUCCAGCCUGCCCAGUGAAUUUUUAACGGCCGCGGUAUCCUAACCGCGCGAAGGUAGCAUAAUCACUUGUUCUUUAAAUGGGGACUCGUAUCAACGGCAUCACGAGGGUUUUACUGUCUCCUCUUUUUGAUCAGUGAAAUUGAUCUUCCCGUGAAGAAGCGGGAAUAAUACUAUAAGACGAGAAGACCCCAUGGAGCUUAAAACCAAAUAACAACUUAACCACUCACCCCCCUAUAAAUUUAAGCCCUGUUAUAAGGUUUUCGGUUGGGGUGACCGCGGAGUAAAGCUCAUCCUCCACGACGGAAAGAACACACUCUUUAUUUAAGAACCACAAUUCUAGAAAUUAGUAUACUAACGUUUACUGACCCGAUAAUCGAUCAACGGACCAAGUUACCCUGGGGAUAACAGCGCAAUCUACUUCAAGAGCUCAUAUCGACAAGUAGGCUUACGACCUCGAUGUUGGAUCAGGGUAUCCCGGUGGUGCAGCCGCUACCGAAGGUUCGUUUGUUCAACGAUUAAAACCCU
rnacentral:rRNA from 1 species